GAUAGUUUAUUGUUGUGACAUCAGAUAGUAAUAACGUAUCGGAGAGGGUAAAGGAGGUGUCAGGUUCAUGGUGAUUGAGGUACUCUUCCGGUUUCCGGUAAGGCCAGGUUCAUUUUGAGGUACUCUUCCGGUUUCCGGUUCCGUGUGUCAACAGAGGUGCUGGGUGUUACUGGUGCGGCUGGCGGCGUGGCGGUUCUGAUUUGUUUCCAGUCACCUUCAGUUACCUGGGAGUGCUUUGCAACGGAACGAGAAAAGGGUCAAAACAAACUCUUUUGCGACAGACUGUGUACCUUCAGGUAUGUGAGUUUGUUAUCCAUCUUACGUGGGACGCUAGUGUAAAUGUCAGGUGGUGUAGUGUUUGUUUUGUAUUCCCCCUGUCAGCGUUCUUUGGUUACCCGAUGUCUAUCUCUCUCCGGGUUAUUACCGAACCAGUGCUGCAUCUAUGAUUUGGUGUGGCGGACGGCUGUAUUUCUCCGGUAUGCAAUAGCAUUUUAUUUAAGAGUUUUAUAUCUUUUUUAAAUAGCAUUUAUUUAUUGUGCGUAACAUUUCCUGUUAGGUUCUGAGUUGAGGCUGCACAUUGUUCCCAGGACAACGCUGCUGUUUUGUUCCAUGUUAAAUUUGUGUUUUGUGUUAAAUUGCUUUGUUCUUUGCUAAAUUGAUUUUUGUUGUAAUUGUUUUCUUUUGGUUUCUUAUGUUUCUUGAUUUCGGUAUCAAUAGUUACCCUGUUACGGUGCCUUAAGGAUUACCUUGAGGUAGGAAGCCUUCCGCUGAAGUUAGUGCAGUAACUAGUUAUUCUUUUGUUACUUUAUUUAUUGGUUCUGUUUUGAAAUCUAGUUUAUAUAUUUUCUUAGAUUAAUUUUCUUUUCUCCUGGGUUUUGUAAACUUUCAUUCUUUGUUUUGUUUAUUUGGUUUUUCUUAAUUUUAGCAUCGUCAGUUUUAACAUAUUGUUGUUUUUUUCUGUUUUGUGAACUCUCUGCAGAAGCCGUAGGCCAAAAGGCCGAGAGGCCUAACUUUCCUUCACUUUCUGCACCGUGUGCUGUGUGACCACCGACAGAAAUUCAGUGAGCGCUGAGUGAGUGUGUUGUGAUUGUGCACAUGCAUGGUGUGGACGUUUACUUCUGUUCCGGCCUGUCUUCUGCCGAUCAGCUGCAGCCCUGCAUGAGUGUUGAUUUCUCUUUUUGUUUAUUUUGAAAUUUUAUUUCCUGUUUGUAUUAAUAAAUGAAAUUUUAUUUUUGUG